rnacentral:rRNA from 1 species
UACGUAGGGGGGCAAGCGUUGUCCGGAUUUAUUGGGCGUAAAGAGCGUGUAGGCGGCCAUACAGGUCCGUUGUGAAAACUGGAGGCUUAACCUCCAGACGUCGAUGGAAACCGUAUGGCUAGAGUCCGGAAGAGGAGAGUGGAAUUCCUGGUGUAGCGGUGAAAUGCGCAGAUAUCAGGAAGAACACCCGUGGCGAAGGCGGCUCUCUGGGACGGUACUGACGCUGAGACGCGAAAGCGUGGGAGCGAACGGG